GCAGUCUGGUGCCAGCAGCCGCGGUAAUUCCAGCUCCAAUAGCGUAUAUUAAAGUUGUUGCAGUUAAAAAGCUCGUAGUUGAACUUUGGGCCUGGGCGGACGGUCUACCUAUGGUAAGCACUGUUGCGGCCGGGUCUUUCCUUCUGGCUAGCCCUCGGGCGAACCAGGACGAUUACUUUGAGGAAAUUAGAGUGUUCAAAGCAGGCCUUUGCUCGGAUAUAUUAGCAUGGAAUAAUAGAAUAGGACGCAUGGUUCUAUUUUGUUGGUUUCUAGGACCAUCGUAAUGAUUAAUAGGGACGGUCGGGGGCAUCAGUAUUCAGUCGUCAGAGGUGAAAUUCUUGGAUUUAUUGAAGACUAACUACUGCGAAAGCAUUUGCCAA
rnacentral:rRNA from 1 species